CAGGGCGGAAGCGGGAAUUUUUCAAACUUGAAAAUGGAAAUUUCUGAAGAAAUUGAUCAAAAUCCAGUAAUUCCAGCUGAUGAAAAUGAUGAAGAUGAAGUCCAAGAAAAUGGAGAAGGACAGUAUGCUACAUUACUGCGUGAAGCACUAGAUAAAACGAUCUCAAGAUGUCUCUCCGUUGGAAAGUUGAAGUUAUUUGUCAAGAACUUCCAGCCAAUUUUUGAGAAGCAACCAAAAAUGCUGAAGAAUAUCCAUACACAGUUUUCUAAACAACUUGAAACUGUCAUAAAGCAAGAAGUUGAUGGAAUGUUGGAGGAAGAAAAGGUGAUCCCGCUUCUUGAAGAUUUGGAGAAAAUUGUUUCAGAUUCCCCUGACAGAAUAGCAUGGAGACCCAGUGGUGAUGUGGAUGCUGACAUGAGAUCACACCUAAUGCCUAUCAAAGUCAGACAAAAACAAAAGCUUCAGAGAAUCUUAACAUCUAUAGAAGAAGAAAAUAAAAGCUUGGAAAAAGCUAUGGCUCUCCGUCAAAAACAUCUUGAGGCCUCACAGAAAAAAUUAGAGGCAAAAACACAGAAUAUUCAUCAGACAUACGACACAUGCUGGGGCAAUAUGGCUCUCAUGAGUCAGCUCAGGAACUCUUUGAUACAACAGACUUCGCAAUGAUAUGAUCUAGAGUCCAACAUGCUUAUGGAGUUGCUUUGUGAACAAUACUGAAUUGCUUGGUGAACAAAACUGAGUUGCUUGGUGAACAAUACUGAGUUGCUUGGUGAACAAUACUGAGCUGCUUGGCGACCAAUACUGAGUUGCUUGGAGAACAAUACUGAUUUGUUUGGUGAACAUUACUGAGUUGCUUGAUGAAUAUUGCUGAGUUGCUUGGUGAAUAUUACUAAGUUGCUUGGUUAACAUUUAAACUCAGUCGCUAUUGUUGAUAAACAAUGCCAAGGUGCUUUUCAGCAUCACUGAGUUGCUUGAUGAACAAUACUGAGAAUUGUUGAACAAUUUAAUUUCAAUACUCAGUUGUGUGGUGAACUUCAUGAUAUACUCUAUAGAGAAAGUGAUAUUUCACCAUAGUGGGGAGAGCAAGUGGCACAUCAGGUAAAACUUUGCAAUUAUCAACACACACACUCAUUAUUUGCAAGUUAUUUGUUGCAUGUGACCAAAUCUCAAUAUAUGCUCAACCAGAGGAGACUUAUGAAUCAGAUAUAUAGUUUGACAUUAAGACAUACUGACUGAUGCACAUGUAAUCACGAUCAGAAAAUAUUAUCAUCCACAUGGGGAUCCUUAGUCUAAGGGAAUAACCUGACUUGGGAAUGAUGCUAUUAUAAAGAUCCCAACAUUCAGGUAUAAAAUUAAAUUCACAUAUUUGAACAGUAUAUGAGCAAUUUGAAACAACAUUGACUUCCAAUCGACAUUUGGAAUUGGAACAAACAUGAUUAGUUAUAGAAAACAAAACAUCUCUUCAAUAUAUA
rnacentral:misc_RNA from 1 species